rnacentral:rRNA from 1 species
AUUGAACGCUGGCGGCAUGCCUUACACAUGCAAGUCGAACGGCAGCACGGGUGCUUGCCCCUGGUGGCGAGUGGCGAACGGGUGAGUAAUACAUCGGAACAUGUCCUGUAGUGGGGGAUAGCCCGGCGAAAGCCGGAUUAAUACCGCAUACGAUCUACGGAUGAAAGCGGGGGACCUUCGGGCCUCGCGCUAUAGGGUUGGCCGAUGGCUGAUUAGCUAGUUGGUGGGGUAAAGGCCUACCAAGGCGACGAUCAGUAGCUGGUCUGGGAGGACGACCAGCCACACUGGGACUGAGACACGGCCCAGACUCCUACGGGAGGCAGCAGUGGGGAAUUUUGGACAAUGGGCGAAAGCCUGAUCCAGCAAUGCCGCGUGUGUGAAGAAGGCCUUCGGGUUGUAAAGCACUUUUGUCCGGAAAGAAAUCCUUGGCCCUAAUACGGUCGGGGGAUGACGGUACCGGAAGAAUAAGCACCGGCUAACUACGUG